rnacentral:rRNA from 1 species
GACAGAGGGUGCAAACGUUGUUCGGAAUUACUGGGCGUAAAGCGUGUGUAGGCGGUUCUCUAAGUCGGAUGUGAAAUCCCUGGGCUCAACCCAGGAAGUGCACUCGAAACUGGAGGGCUAGAGUAUCGGAGAGGUUGGUGGAAUUCUCGGUGUAGAGGUGAAAUUCGUAGAUAUCGAGAGGAACGCCGGCGGCGUAGGCAGCGCCCUAGACGAGACCUGACGCUCAGGCACGAAAGCGCGGGGAGCGAACAGG